rnacentral:rRNA from 1 species
AGUGAACGCUGGCGGUAGGCCUAACACAUGCAAGUCGAACGGCAGCACAGGAGAGCUUGCUCUCUGGGUGGCGAGUGGCGGACGGGUGAGGAAUACAUCGGAAUCUACUCUGUCGUGGGGGAUAACGUAGGGAAACUUACGCUAAUACCGCAUACGACCUACGGGUGAAAGCAGGGGACCUUCGGGCCUUGCGCGAUUGAAUGAGCCGAUGUCGGAUUAGCGAGUUGGCGGGGUAAAGGCCCACCAAGGCGACGAUCCGUAGCUGGUCUGAGAGGAUGAUCAGCCACACUGGAACGGAGCAACGGUACAGACUCCUACGGGAGGCAGCAGUGGGGAAUAUUGGACAAUGGGCGCAAGCCUGAUCCAGCCAUACCGCGUGGGUGAAGAAGGCCUUCGGGUUGUAAAGCCCUUUUGUUGGGAAAGAAAUCCAGCUGGCUAAUACCCGGUUGGGAUGACGGUACCCAAAGAAUAAGCACCGGCUAACUUCGUGCCAGCCGCCGCGGUAA